rnacentral:lncRNA from 12 species
AUGGGAAUGCUGCUUUUACUGUACAUCCAAGUGGUUCCAAGUACAACCCUCAGGAUGCUGCCUCACUGGGAGAAAGAAGAUCCUGCUGCUGCUUCUCUUCCUUCCAUUUCUCAUUUGAACACAGCAUUCACGUGCACCAAGAAAUCUUCUUCUUUAAGCAAUAGAGAAUGCCUCUUAGAUAAUACUCGAUCCUGAAGUUCACAAUACCCUAUAGUAGUGUAUUGUUAACCGUAGGCACGGUGCUGCCCAGCAGAUCUCUAGAACUUACCCAUCUCACGUAACUGAAACUUCAAACUCAGUGAACAACUCCCCAUUUCCCCAUCUCCCAGGCCUUGACAAGCCACUAUUGUAGUCUCUGCUUCUAUUAAUUUGGCUAUUUUAAAUACCUCAUAUAAAUGAAAUCGUGCAGUAUUUGUCCUUCUGUGGUUGGCUUAUUUCAUCUGGCAUGAUGUCUUCUAGGCUCAAUCAUGUUGUCAUGAAUGGCAGGAUCUCCUUUUUUUAAGACUAAUUAAUAUUCACAUUUAUAUUUAUAUACAUACACACAUGUAACGUUUGCUUCAUCCACUCACUGGUCAAUGGACGCUUGGGUGGUUCCCAUGCGCUGGCUAUCAUAAGCAAUCCUUUCUUUUAAACAUUUAUUUAUGUGAGAAAGAGAGAGUGACAGUGUGUGCAAGAGGGAGGUGUGGAGGGAGAGAGAGAAUACUGAAGCAGAUUCCCCAUUGAGCGCAGAGCCCCACAGAGGACUCCCUCCCAGAACCCUGAGAUCAUGACCUGAGCUGAAAUCAAGAGUCCAACACAACUAACGAAGCCACCCAGGUGCCCCCAUCGUAAAUAAUUCUGCAGUGAAUAUGGGAAUGCAGACAUCUCCUAGAUCCUGAUUUCAGUUCUUUUGGAUACAUCUUCUCUCUUGAUUGUGGUGAUGGCAUCAUGGGUGUUUGCUUAUAUUCAAACUCAUCAAAUUGUAAACGUUAACUAUGUGCAGCACUUUGUAUGUCAAUUAUACGUUAAUAAAACCUUUUUUUAAGUACUUGAUCCUGGCA